GCGGAGGAAAAGAAACCAACAGGGAUUGCCCUAGUAACGGCGAGUGAAGCGGCAACAGCUCAAAUUUGAAAGCUGGCCUUCGGGUCCGCAUUGUAAUUUGUAGAGGAUGCUUUGGGUAAAACGCCAGUCUAAGUUCCUUGGAACAGGACGUCAUAGAGGGUGAGAAUCCCGUAUGUGACUGGAAAUGUUAACCUAUGUAAAGCUCCUUCGACGAGUCGAGUUGUUUGGGAAUGCAGCUCUAAAUGGGAGGUAAAUUUCUUCUAAAGCUAAAUAUUGGCGAGAGACCGAUAGCGCACAAGUAGAGUGAUCGAAAGAUGAAAAGCACUUUGGAAAGAGAGUUAAAAAGCACGUGAAAUUGUUGAAAGGGAAGCGCUUGCAAUCAGACUUGUUUAAACUGUUCGGCCGGUCUUCUGACCGGUUUACUCAGUUUGGACAGGCCAGCAUCAGUUUCGGCGGCCGGAUAAAGGCUCUGGGAAUGUGGCCUCCACUUCGGUGGAGGUGUUAUAGCCCAGUGUGUAAUACGGCCAGCCGGGACUGAGGUCCGCGCUUCGGCUAGGAUGCUGGCGUAAUGGUUGUAAGCGACCCGU
rnacentral:rRNA from 2 species